GACAGAGGCCCCAAGCGUUAGGCGGAAUCACUGGGCUUAAAGCGUGUGUAGGCGGACGCCUAAGUGUCUUGUGAAAUCCCACGGCUCACCCGUGGAACUGCUGGGCAUACUGGGCGUCUUGGGCCAACUAGGGGCAGCCGGAACAAGCGGUGGGGCGGUGAAAUGCGUAGAUAUCGCUUGGAACGCCGAAGGUGAAAACAGGCUGCUGGGGUUGUGCCGACGCUGAGACACGAAAGCCAGGGGAGCAAACGGG
rnacentral:rRNA from 1 species